UGUCAUAGAAGUUGGUCUCCGAUCCAGAGUCUCUGGCAUUCUCUGUCGGGAGUUCAGGAGCUGUUGCUCGGAAGAGCCCACAAUCCCUGGCCUUCUCAUCUUUUUCAGGCAUUGACUUCUUGGACUCCUGCUCCUCCAGCAGUGAUACAAAGAUUCUGUAUGGGGAUUACUAGGCUCCAUAAAGGCACACUGAUCUUCAGGUAAUCUAUCAACAGGUUCAGGCUGAGCAGGUCUGGAGACUCUCAAGCACUUUUUGUAUCCACAGUCCCAGAAAGAAUCAUAUGAUGCUGUGGGGGAAAGCAGGUUGACAGGAAACAAGAGUCAGUAGUCUGGCUUCUCUUCACUAGUGCAUCAAUGGUCUCUAUCAGGCCUUUAACUCUACAAACCUCACACAAGAGAUUUACUGGGAGAGAAGAACCCAGGAAUGUGGCUGCCUUGCUGAGUGAUAAGCAGCAGAAAAUUCUCUUAUCCUAGAGACAGAAUGGAGGUGCCGGAUGCAUGGACAACAUCUAAGGCAACCAGGUCUGAGAAAGGAAGAGCAUCCCUCCUGAAGGCCUUAGGGAAAUGCUAUGGAGGAGCAGACUGGAGAGUGGGGCAGCAGCACAGAGUUCAUAAAGAAGGGCAUUAGGCUUGUUACAAUUACAUUACGUGGGAAGAUGUAGCAGAGAGAAGAAAAUACUUGUGCACUUCAGGCAUUGCAGUUUUCUGGAGCUUCGUGUAGUCAUGCUUGGCAUGACUGGGACACCCCAGGAGAAUCUGCAGGGCUGGUCAAGAUCUUAUGUGAAUUGAGACUGAUUCUGUGUUAAAAGAGCAAUGUUUUACAUUGGGAUGUUACACUGGAAAGCCUCCUGAAGACAUUAUUUAGAAUGAAAACAAAAUUAGGGAGACAAAAUCCUCAUGAAAUGUGGACUUUCUUCCUGAAAAGCCUACAGAUCCAGAUGAACUCUUAGCUCCUUCUUCAGCACCAUGGAUACCUGCUCACUGCCAUGUUCCCGAAAGUGAUAAUGAAAUAAACUUCGGAACCUGUAAGCCAGCCCUAAUUAAAUGAUUUCCUUCAUAAGA